rnacentral:rRNA from 1 species
UAAAACCUACGGGGCGCAGCAGUGGGGAAUAUUGGGCAAUGGGCGCAAGCCUGACCCAGCGACGCCGCGUGAGGGAAGACGGUCUUCGGAUUGUAAAUCUCUUUCAGCAGGGAAGACAAAAGGACGGUACCUGCAGAAGAAGCCACGGCUAACUACGUGCCAGCAGCCGCGGUAAUACGUAGGUGGCAAGCGUUAUCCGGAAUUACUGGGUGUAAAGGGUGCGUAGGCGGGGCUGCAAGUCAGAUGUGAAAAUUAUGGGCUCAACCCAUAACCUGCGU